rnacentral:rRNA from 1 species
UUGACCUCGGAUCAGGUAGGAAUACCCGCUGAACUUAAGCAUAUCAAUAAGCGGAGGAAAAGAAACCAACAGGGAUUGCCCU